rnacentral:rRNA from 1 species
CACGUAGGGGGCGAGCGUUGUCCGGAUUUAUUGGGCGUAAAGAGCUCGUAGGCGGCUCAGUAAGUCAGGUGUAAAAACUCCAGGCUCAACCUGGAGACGCCAUCUGAUACUGCUGUGGCUAGAGUCCGGUAGGGGAGCAUGGAAUUCCUGGUGUAGCGGUGAAAUGCGCAGAUAUCAGGAAGAACACCCGUGGCUAAGGGCGGCUCCUCUAGUACGGUACUGACGCUGAGACGCGAAAGCGUGGGGAGCGAACAGG